rfam:Lepisosteus oculatus linkage group LG11, whole genome shotgun sequence.
UGAGAGCAAAGUUCUGUAACACGUAGACUCUGAGUACGGUAGAAGUCAGUGCACUACAGAACUUGGUUUUCAG